rnacentral:rRNA from 1 species
CCUACGGGUGGCAGCAGUGAGGAAUAUUGGUCAAUGGGAGGAAUCCUGAACCAGCCAUGCCGCGUGCAGGACGACGGCUCUACGAGUUGUAAACUGCUUUUGUACCGGGGUAAAAUGCUCUACGAGUAGGGUUUUGAAAGUACGGUACGAAUAAGGAUCGGCUAACUCCGUGCCAGCAGCCGCGGUAAUACGGAGGAUCCGAGCGUUAUCUGGAUUCAUUGGGUUUAAAGGGUGCGUAGGCUGUUGUAUAAGUUAGCGGUGAAAUACCGAUGCUCAACAUCGGGACUGCCGCUGAUACUGUGUGACUAGAGAUCAGAUGCGGCAGGCGGAAUGUGUGGUGUAGCGGUGAAAUGCUUAGAGAUUACACAGAACACCGAUUGCGAAGGCAGCUUACUAGGCCGGUUCUGACGCUGAUGCACGAAAGCGUGGGGAUCAAACAGGAUUAGAUACCCUAGUAGUC